UGAGUAACACGUAUCCAACCUGCCGUCUACUCUUGGCCAGCCUUCUGAAAGGAAGAUUAAUCCAGGAUGGCAUCAUGAGUUCACAUGUCCGCAUGAUUAAAGGUAUUUUCCGGCAGACGAUGGGGAUGCGUUCCAUUAGAUAGUAGGCGGGGUAACGGCCCACCUAGUCAACGAUGGAUAGGGGUUCUGAGAGGAAGGUCCCCCACAUUGGUACUGAGACACGGACCAA
rnacentral:rRNA from 1 species